rnacentral:rRNA from 1 species
UGCCAGCAGCCGCGGUAAUACGAAGGGUGCUAGCGUUGUUCGGAAUUACUGGGCGUAAAGAGCAUGUAGGCGGAUGAAUUAGUCAGAGGUGAAAGCCCCCGAGCUCAACUUGGGAACUGCCUUUGAUACUGUUUAUCUAGAGUCCGAGAGAGGUUAGUGGAAUUCCCAGUGUAGAGGUGAAAUUCGUAGAUAUUGGGAAGAACACCAGUGGCGAAGGCGGCUAACUGGCUCGGUACUGACGCUGAGGUACGGAAGCAUAGGGAUCAAACAGGAUUAGAUA